UGUUUUUACUUGUACAUUGUCAUUUUCUAUACCUAAUUCCAAGCCUUCACAAACUUAAAGAUAAGGGUCCUUUAGACCAGGGGUCCUCAACCUCCAGACCACAGAUGGGUAAUAGUCCUUGGACUGUUAGGAACUGAGCUACACAGCAGGAGAUGAGGGGCAGGCAAGCAAGCAAAACUUCAUCUGUACUGCAUUUACAGCAGCUCCCCAUUGCUCGCAUUACGGCCUGAGCUCACUGCCUGUCAGAUCAGUGGCAGCAUUAGAUUCUCACAGGAGCAUGAACCCUAUUGUGAGCUGCGCAUGCAACGGAUGUAGCUUGCACCCUCCUUAUGAUAACCUAAUGCCUGAGGAUCUGUCACUGUCUCCCAUCACCCCUGGAUGGAGCCAUCUAAUUGUAGAAAAACAAGCUCAGGGCCCCCACUGAUUCUAUAUUAUGAAAUCAUUAAAUCCUGCAAUUCCAGGAGUCAUUUUAUUCUCCAUGGAGCUCCAGCAUUGCUGUCAGAGCAGUUCCUCCUCAUGGCCGAUUGGGGAGUUCAGAGCCUGUGCAUUAAGCUGUCAGGUUGGGAGAGCAUUGAGGAGUCAUCUUCAUGCCAAAUCAUCUUAUUUAGCCAAAUACCAUUGAAACAUUUGAGUUCUUUCCUGGACCUGGACCUGGCCAAAUACCUAAAGCCAUUAACAGAUCUUCUCCCUCAAAGAAGGCAUGUAAAUGUUUUACAUUAUUGUCAAACUGUAAACAAUAAUGAACCAGCUCUUUAGGUAAAAGAAGUUAAACAAUACUACUACUAAUAAUAAUUUGCCUCUAUAAAGGGACUUUUUCCAAACUCUCGAGGAACCAGCUGUAGCUGGGUAGCAUCCUUCCCUCAGGAGUCUGAGAACACAUUCUGAGGGGCCCCUGUUCUGUGCUUCUAGGUUCUGAUAAUUCAACCACUACUUCUUUCCCCAAUCUAGGGAGGUAGAUGCCUCCUACAGUUACUAUUAGUAGUAACCUCAUCAGGGUUUUUUUGGUUUAUUUUUUGUUUGUUUACAAA
rnacentral:lncRNA from 1 species